rnacentral:siRNA from 1 species
UGAUGGGAUCCGGUGCAUUAG